AAACUUGAAGUGUUUACGGUCUAGGGUAGAUGUCCAACAGGGAGCAGGGACUAUCAAUCUGGAACUCAGAGACGAAACCAUGGAGUGACAGGUGCAGGUUAAGAGCCUGUUAGGUCCAAAAUGGUGCCCCAGAAAUUCAAGUUAAGUCAAGCCCAUGUUGGAAGACCACCAGCUCCUGCUCGGUGAUUAACUUUGAGGAACCUCGGACAAUAUCCUUCUCAGAGUUAAAGUCCAUGAUUGAAAAGUGGCGUAAAAUUUUAUCUGGCUCUGUGCCGGGCCCUGCCAAGCUCUUCUCAAACUCGAUCAGCUGUUGUGUCAGCUUCGAGUCCAGGUGUUCUCCAAACAAUCCAAAGAAGUUUCCGGGAUCCUGGCAAGGCUGCCUUCCUGGGGCAGAGCCAUGGUUUCCUCCACCCGUGUGUCAGGACAUAAUUUCACAAACCGGGGUAUCUACUUCACCAUUAACAAUGCAGUCAUCUUGAUUUCCAGAACUUACUGACUCAUCCACAGUCCUCAGGGGCCCCAACAGCUCUACAAAACCUUCUGGAAAAAUGCCUCUUCGGCCCUCUAACUCCCCUUCAAACCAGCCUGGUUCAGGAACUCCAAUAAUGGUGAUCACAUCCCCUUCCCUGAAGUCCAGCUCUUCAUCCAGCUGAGCAGAAAGCCCCAUUAGGGCCCGGGCUUGUCCCAUGGAAUAUUCCGGAAUCUGAAACAGGGCGCUCUGGGAGUGCCACUGCCGGCUCUGUGAGGAGAGGCAGAGCUCGCGGACACAUGAAGAUGGGAAGAAGCCCCGUGCGCCCCAGCAGCUUCGGCCCUGCAGCCAGCCUGCAGUGGGAAUGCCAUCGAGAAUCACCAGGUCACCUAAAGAAAAGAGGAGCAGAGAUGGUGACCUCAGUCAUCACCCAGCAGAACAUUAUCACGACUAAUAGUGCAACCUCUCAUUUUAAACAGCUACCAAAUUCAAGGAAAUACACCUAGAGCUUUAGGAGCAUGAACAAUUUUGACAAUUUAUUGAAUUGGAGCAGUUCUAUAAACCUGUAGUUUUCAGAGUGUUCCAUGGAACCCUACAGGUGGGUCUCCAAGAUCCUAGCAGAGAAUCUGUGAGGUCAAAACCAUUCUCAUAAUAACACUAAGACUUUAUCUACAUAUUUUACUCUGCUGACUUUUGUAAUCUCUGUGAAAAAGCAAUGGUGAUUAAAACUGCUGGCCAGCUAGGUGCUGUGGCUUACACCAGAAAUCCGAGCACUUUGGGAGGCCAAGGCAGGAGGAUCGCUUGAGACCAGGAGUUCAAAACCAGCCUGGGCAACAUGUCAAGACCUUGUCUCUACAAUAAAUUUAAAAAUUAGCUGUGCACUGUGGCUCAUGCCUGUAGUCCCAGCUAUUCAGGAGGCUGAGGUGGGAGGAUAGCUUGAACCCAGGAGGUCAAGGCUGCAGUAAGCUGUGAUUUCACCACUACGCUCCAGUCUGGGUGACAGAGCAACACUUGUCUCAAAAAUAAAAAUAAAAUGGCUGGGCGCGAUGGCUCAUGCCUGUGAUCCCAGCACUUUGGGAGGCCAAGGCAGGCGGAUCACUUGAGGUCAGGAGUUCGAGAGCAGCCUGGUCAACAUGGUGAAACACCAUCUCUACUAAAAAUACAAAAAUUAGCUGAGCAUGGUGGCACGUGCCUGUAGUCCCAGCUAUUCAGGAGGCUGAGGCAGAAAUUAAACUCAGGAGGCAGAGGUCGCAGUGAGCCGAGAUCGCACCACUGCACUCCAGCUUGGGCAACAGAGCAAGACUCCAUCUCAAAAAAAUAAUAAAUUAAUUAAAAACUGCUGGCAAUUCAUAAGCAAAGGCAGUAGCCACAAAUUACAUGAAUAGUCACUGUAUGGUCAUCGUAUUCUUCACAACCAUGUACUCACAGUUUUUAAAAAAGCCAUUUUCAGUUAAGAAGCAAUACAAAUUAUGCACUGUGCUAAAUCUCAACCCUUAAGAACAAUUCUUUUGUAAUAUUCUGUGUGACAAUAUAGGAAUUACACAUAAAGCACUUUUACUGCUGAG
rnacentral:lncRNA from 1 species